rnacentral:rRNA from 1 species
UAGGGAAUCUUCGGCAAUGGACGGAAGUCUGACCGAGCAACGCCGCGUGAGUGAAGAAGGUUUUCGGAUCGUAAAGCUCUGUUGUAAGAGAAGAACGAGUGUGAGAGUGGAAAGUUCACACUGUGACGGUAUCUUACCAGAAAGGGACGGCUAACUACGUGCCAGCAGCCGCGGUAAUGCGUAGGUCCCGAGCGUUGUCCGGAUUUAUUGGGCGUAAAGCGAGCGCAGGCGGUUAGAUAAGUCUGAAGUUAAAGGCUGUGGCUUAACCAUAGUAGGCUUUGGAAACUGUUUAACUUGAGUGCAAGAGGGGAGAGUGGAAUUCCAUGUGUAGCGGUGAAAUGCGUAGAUAUAUGGAGGAACACCGGUGGCGAAAGCGGCUCUCUGGCUUGUAACUGACGCUGAGGCUCGAAAGCGUGGGGAGCAAACAGGAUUAGAUACCCUGGUAGUCCACGCUGUAAACGAUGAGUGCUAGGUGUUAGACCCUUUCCGGGGUUUAGUGCCGUAGCUAACGCAUUAAGCACUCCGCCUGGGGAGUACGACCGCAAGGUUG